GGGUUGAAUCCACAGAGAAGGUAGUAUUUUAAUUUUAAAUCUUUGAUUUUAUAAAAUAAAAUAAAAUUUAAAAAAAUAAUUUAAAUCAAAAAUAAAAAUUAAAAGUAUGAAAAAUAAAUCAAAUACUAAGAUCUACUAUUUAGAUCCUAGCUUCUACAUAUAAUAAAAAUAAAUAACAAGAAUUUAAAGUGUAUAAAAUAAAUUGGUACUAAGAUUUACUAACU
rnacentral:lncRNA from 1 species